CUCAAGUUUCAAGAUCACGUGUCGAGUAUCUACUCGUACCUGUUUACCUGUACGACAUCUUGUCACACCUGUAAGACGAAACAAGGCCCAGCAGAGAUGUCUGCACCCUACCCUCAGCAGGCCCAGCCUGUACCGCAGCAGACCCAGCCCAUACCGGGACAGGUGCCGCCUGCUUACGACCCCCAAUAUGCACAGCCACCGCCACCGCCACCGCCUGGGGCACAGAUGUCUAACACGACCGUCGUCG